GUGCCCUUUUAAGGUUGACACAGUGCCUUAAGAGCUUAACACAGAAAGGUAAAGUAAGUUUCCAUAAAACCCAGAGACGAUAUUGCAAAAUUCCUCUUUGGAUCAUGUCUGGAGUUACAGCU
ensembl:snoRNA